rnacentral:lncRNA from 1 species
CAGACGCCAUGGAGUUGGUGCUGGUCUUCCUCUGCAGCCUGCUGGCCCCCAUGGUCCUGGCCAGUGCAGCUGAAAAGGAGAAGGAAAUGGACCCUUUUCAUUAUGAUUACCAGACCCUGAGGAUUGGGGGACUGGUGUUCGCUGUGGUCCUCUUCUCGGUUGGGAUCCUCCUUAUCCUAAGUCGCAGGUGCAAGUGCAGUUUCAAUCAGAAGCCCCGGGCCCCAGGAGAUGAGGAAGCCCAGGUGGAGAACCUCAUCACCGCCAAUGGUAACUAGCCCCAGAAAGCAGAGAACUGAAGUGCAGCCAUCAGGUGGAAGCCUCUGGAACCUGAGGCGGCUGCUUGAACCUUUGGAUGCAAAUGUCGAUGCUUAAGAAAACCGGCCACUUCAGCAACAGCCCUUUCCCCAGGAGAAGCCAAGAACUUGUGUGUCCCCCACCCUAUCCCCUCUAACACCAUUCCUCCACCUGAUGAUGCAACUAACACUUGCCUCCCCACUGCAGCCUGCGGUCCUGCCCACCUCCCGUGAUGUGUGUGUGUGUGUGUGUGUGUGUGACUGUGUGUGUUUGCUAACUGUGGUCUUUGUGGCUACUUGUUUGUGGAUGGUAUUGUGUUUGUUAGUGAACUGUGGACUCGCUUUCCCAGGCAGGGGCUGAGCCACAUGGCCAUCUGCUCCUCCCUGCCCCCGUGGCCCUCCAUCACCUUCUGCUCCUAGGAGGCUGCUUGUUGCCCGAGACCAGCCCCCUCCCCUGAUUUAGGGAUGCGUAGGGUAAGAGCACGGGCAGUGGUCUUCAGUCGUCUUGGGACCUGGGAAGGUUUGCAGCACUUUGUCAUCAUUCUUCAUGGACUCCUUUCACUCCUUUAACAAAAACCUUGCUUCCUUAUCCCACCUGAUCCCAGUCUGAAGGUCUCUUAGCAACUGGAGAUACAAAGCAAGGAGCUGGUGAGCCCAGCGUUGACGUCAGGCAGGCUAUGCCCUUCCGUGGUUAAUUUCUUCCCAGGGGCUUCCACGAGGAGUCCCCAUCUGCCCCGCCCCUUCACAGAGCGCCCGGGGAUUCCAGGCCCAGGGCUUCUACUCUGCCCCUGGGGAAUGUGUCCCCUGCAUAUCUUCUCAGCAAUAACUCCAUGGGCUCUGGGACCCUACCCCUUCCAACCUUCCCUGCUUCUGAGACUUCAAUCUACAGCCCAGCUCAUCCAGAUGCAGACUACAGUCCCUGCAAUUGGGUCUCUGGCAGGCAAUAGUUGAAGGACUCCUGUUCCGUUGGGGCCAGCACACCGGGAUGGAUGGAGGGAGAGCAGAGGCCUUUGCUUCUCUGCCUACGUCCCCUUAGAUGGGCAGCAGAGGCAACUCCCGCAUCCUUUGCUCUGCCUGUCAGUGGUCAGAGCGGUGAGCGAGGUGGGUUGGAGACUCAGCAGGCUCCGUGCAGCCCUUGGGAACAGUGAGAGGUUGAAGGUCAUAACGAGAGUGGGAACUCAACCCAGAUCCCGCCCCUCCUGUCCUCUGUGUUCCCGCGGAAACCAACCAAACCGUGCGCUGUGACCCAUUGCUGUUCUCUGUAUCGUGAUCUAUCCUCAACAACAACAGAAAAAAGGAAUAAAAUAUCCUUUGUUUCCU